ensembl:lncRNA
GGGUCUUCCUUCCCUUGUGAAGUCUCUUGUGUCCUGUAAAAUGUAAGGAACCGAUGUCCCCUGCAUUAGAGGUGGAUUCUUUUACCACUGGGCUACCAGGAAGCCCAUCAUGAUGGAUUUUUUAGCUUGGUUCACCAUCUGAACAUUUGAGAGGCCAUGAAGGAGUUGGGAAAGAUUUCCAAGAUCCUGUGGGGUAUCCAAGAUUGGCUAGAAUGAGAAAAUUCCAAGGAGACCAAAGAGGCCAAUUAAUGAGAGGAAGGGAGAAGCUGCGGAAGGGGGCAGCUGGAUCUCCUGCAGCCUCAAAUGUCAUCUCCCACAAGGCUGUGCAGAGCUGCAGUGAACACACACAGCAUAUGCACACACACACACACUCUCACUUACACGUAUUCAAACAUCAGCCCUCACACAAAGGUUCACACACCCGUGUUCAUGCACAGUCACGUUUGCCCACCUGAUGCUCAUCUGCCUUCACACUGACUCACUCCCACCUGUACACACACAACACACACACACAUGUGCACACGUGUGGAGACCCUGGCCGGCAGUCACAGAGAGAUCAGGGCGGGAAGAGGGGGACUUUUUCACCAGUCCCAUCGGCCCUCCUAAGGACUCUCCCUUCUUUGUAUCCUUAAUCUGGCUAAGGAGCCCAGGAAUCUCGGAACCAGUCCUCAAAAUUACCCUCUGUGAAAUCUCAGCCUCACUCUCCCUGGUGUCGGAUAUCUCUCUUGGUGUCUCCCAGGCCAAUGCUCAGUCACAGUUCUAUUUUACUAUCUGGUUGCCCCAGUAUGGUUUAGAGCAUGUCUCUGAAUCAAGACUAACUCAGUUCAAAUGCUUCCUCUGUCCUCUCUGCAGGUCCUUGGUCGGGUUGCGUGAUGUCUCAGGGCAUCAUUUGCCCCAUCUGUAAAAUGGGUAACAAGCUUACAGGGUCUAUACCAUCACCCGUGCAGAGCUGCCUGGAAGACUCAGUGUUCCACGAACUUCAUGCCGUGGUUCUCCUCCAGCCCCUCCAUCAUCUUGCUUAGCAUGGCUUGGAGUUCACUCCUUUCCCACCUCUCCUUUUUCUCCCCUCCUCACCCCCAAGGCUCUGCUCCUGGAAUAGAUCUUGACAACUGUGGCCUUGUGUGUGUUUGAUAAAUAGCUCUGCUGGGUGUAUUCAGGACGCAGGUGUAGACCUGAGUCAGGAUGGAAAUAGCCAGGAGGCAGGUUGAGAGUGCGGAGUCCAGGCUGGGCUGACCCCGCAGGGACCUGCCCUGCCUUCCUCGCCUCUGACACACUGGGGCCCAGGUGGUCCGCUCCGUGCCCCUCUGU